GGAAAUCUUCGGGGCAGGGUGAAAUUCCCUACCGGCGGUAUAGUCCGCGACCCGCUUCGGCGGCUGAAUUGGUGUAAUUCCAAUACCGACAGUACAGUCUGGAUGAGAGAAGAUGGAA
rfam:Marvinbryantia formatexigens DSM 14469 B_formatexigens-1.0.1_Cont17.1, whole genome shotgun sequence.